AUGAUACAAAUAUUACAAGUAAAAAAACAAAAAAACGACAGCUUUAUCAAUAACAGUUACAGUAGCAACAAUAGCUACAGUAGCAAUAAUAAUUACACUAGCAAUAAUAAGUGCAGUAACAACAAUAGCUACAGUAUUUUUUUAUUUUAUUUUUUAACUCCUUUAUAAUGUUUUUUGUAUACAUAUGUAUUUAUACAUAUAUUUUUUAAUUAUUUAAAGGAAAACAAUGAAAUUAUAUUAUGUGUGGCUUACCAUGUAAAUUGACAAUUGAAAAAAGUUCUAUAGAUUUAUCACAGAACAUACUAGAGCUAGUCUAUAAAUUAUUAAAAGGGUCAAGGAUAUAUAAAAAAAACAUAUCCUUAGCAUUGUUUUAUUUUCACUUUUUUUAUUCCUAUCUUUCUUUUUUUUUAUUUAUUAUUGCCAUUUGUUUCUUGCCACCUAUUAUAGCGGUUGUUGAUUAUUUAUUGUUUAUUUUUAUAAUAAUACCAGUACUUUCGGUGAUCCUCUUAAACAAUAACAACAAUUCUACAAUAAUGAACGACAUUCCAGAUAAAAAUAUAAAAAAAGAUGCAGUUAUUAAGUCUUUGGUAAAAAAUAAAAAAAUAAAAAAAAUUAAAAAAAUAAAUGAACGAACAAACGAACACAAACAUGAGCUUAAAGAGCUGAUAAUACUGUGUUUUUAUAUUACCUACGUGCUUGUACAAAUUUUUUAAUAAAUAUAGAAUGUGUGUGUUUAUAUCUUCCAUACAUAUACAUGUUUGCUUCUAUUUUUUCAUUCACGAGUUCGUUUAUUUAUUUUAUUUUAUUUUAUUUAUUCUUUAUUAUUUAUUCUUUAUUAUUUAUUAUUUAUUAUUUAUU
rnacentral:lncRNA from 1 species